CCCACGGCUUACGCCGUGGGCUUUAUUCUAUCGCCGCUCCGCGGCU
rnacentral:sRNA from 1 species